GAAAUGUGAAAAUAAAUGUCGAUACCCAAGUUAUGGCAGCAAUUGUCAGCUAGAAUGUUUUUGCAUUGAGGACCUGUGCAAUCAUGUCUCCGGAUGUCACACAAAUGAUGUGAGCGCUGGUAAGAAUACCGUUCAUACUACCUCUGGAUUUACUGGAUUCACUAGAUUUGAUAGUGUUUUGACCACAGAGCUAAAUCAUCAAAGCAAGAAUACGGAUGUUAUAUCUGAAACCAAGAAGACGACCAGCAAACGUUUCUCAAGUAUUCUGCUACAAAGUAUACUUGUUCUUGGACUUUUUGCAUCUAUCCUGUUCAUUCUGUAUGUCUGUACAUUUGUGAUGUCAUCAUACAGACGAUUCCGUGCUCAUCAAGGAAGAGAGUUUAUCGUUGAAAUAAACCAUGAUCCGAUAAAUGACUAUGAAAACUCGUAGGAGAGCAGCGAAUGUAAUAUACCUGGGAUAUACUUAAUCAAAAAAGACUAAUGUGUUUAAAAAAUUUCAGAAACUACCUGACAUAAUUGAUCCUUUGUAUGCCCUGCUUAGAGAUACCAAUUUGUUAUUUUGUUACUAUAUAUUAUAUUAUUUACAACCAUAAAUUAUUAUUAUAUUGUGAACAUAUUUUUAUCUGUUCGCAUCGGAGAGAGAGAGAGAGAGAGAUGGUGAUCGACACACAAUUAUGGCGAGAAAGUUAGACAAACAAAAGGACAAAUAUAUGUGUAGUUGUAUUUUUUCAGUCUUACAUGCACUCGCAAUACUGUGGGGAUAGAAG